CGUAGCUAGUAUAUGAAUGAAUCUGGCCCAUUUAUUCUUUAAGCGGAUAAGUAGAUUGUCCACUACUCCAUGGUUAACCUAUGAUCCCAUUUUGAUUAUGUUCCAUUAACACCUGAGCCGAGCAUCUAUUGACUCUUGCUUGAAGGGGACCUUGACCCUGCGCUUGUAUGUCAUGCAAUGAUGGCAGAUCUGUACAAGAACAUAAGAGAGGUGAAGUCAAUUCUUUAUGGCAAUAGUGAAUCUGAGCCACUUUCAGAACCUCGUGCCCAGAUGACUCGGGAAUUUCUUAGAGAAAACACACUGAGACUUUUGAUAAUAUGUCUUCCGAAGUUGAACUUGGAGGCUAGAAAAGAUGCCGCACAAAUCGUUGCAAAUUUGAAAUUGGCAACAAGUUCAUUCACGGUUGAUUGCAUCCGAUUACUUGGAAAAGAACUUUGAUCUCAUCGACAUAUUGGUAGCCGGAGCCCGGUUGAGGUCUCGAUCUCGUGGUUUUCAAUUGCUUUUUCGUUUCUUCCCUAUGGAUUCCGAGCUUCUAUUCUGUACUGAGAUGCCAGUGCAGCUGUAACUUUAAUUAGACGAACAAUAAAUCUUUGAAAUGUAAUAACGUUUAAUUCGUGGGAGCUCUAUCAACUAACGGU